rnacentral:rRNA from 1 species
CCUACGGGCGGCAGCAGUAGGGAAUAUUGCUCAAUGGGGGAAACCCUGAAGCAGCAACGCCGCGUGGAGGAUGAAGGUUUUCGGAUUGUAAACUCCUUUUGUUAGGGAAGAUAAUGACGGUAUCUAACGAAUAAGCACCGGCUAACUCCGUGCCAGCAGCCGCGGUAGUACGGAGGGUGCGAGCGUUACUCGGAAUCACUGGGCGUAAAGAGCGCGUAGGCGGGAUAGCAAGGCAGAUGUGAAUUCCUAGGGCUUAACCAGAGAACUGCAUUUGAAACUGUGAUUCUAGAGUAUGGGAGAGGAAGGUGGAAUUCUUGGUGUAGGAGUAAAAUCCGUAGAGAUCAAGAGGAACACUCGUGGCGAAGGCGACUUGCUAGAACAUAACUGACGCUGAUGCGCGAAAGCGUGGGGAGCAAACAGGAUUAGAUACCCUUGUAGUC